AUGGCCAAGGCUUGUGUACUCGGCGGUGUGGUGAUGGUGGUUUGCGCGCUCAUGCUUCUCUCGUCCUCUUUCGUCGCAGCUGAGCCAGGUGGCCGGCAAUGGGGUCACGGGAGAGAGGCAACGGUGGCGCCGACGACGAUGGCAAGAGGGCGUUUUGUAAGAAAGGUGCUGCGGGAGGAGAUGGUCCAGGCGGACGACAACGAUGUCGUCGACAUUGCCGGCUCUAAGAGGAAGAGUCCCGGUGGCCCAGACCCUCAGCAUCAUUAA
rnacentral:rRNA from 1 species